CUAAUACCGGAUAUGAGCGCCUGCCGCAUGGUGGGUGUUGGAAAGUUUUUCGGUGGGGGAUGGGCUCGCGGCCUAUCAGCUUGUUGGUGGGGUAAUGGCCUACCAAGGCGUCGACGGGUAGCCGGCCUGAGAGGGCGACCGGCCACACUGGGACUGAGACACGGCCCAGACUCCUACGGGAGGCAGCAGUGGGGAAUAUUGCACAAUGGGCGAAAGCCUGAUGCAGCGACGCCACGUGAGGGAUGACGGCCUUCGGGUUGUAAACCUCUUUCAGCAGGGAAGAAGCGCAAGUGACGGUACCUGCAGAAGAAGCGCCGGCUAACUACGUGCCAGCAGCCGCGGUAAUACGUAGGGCGCAAGCGUUGUCCGGAAUUAUUGGGCGUAAAGAGCUCGUAGGCGGUCUGUCGCGUCUGGUGUGAAAUCCCAUGGCUCAACUGUGGGCUUGCAUCGGGUACGGGCAGACUAGAGUGCUGUAGGGGAGACUGGAAUUCCUGGUGUAGCGGUGGAAUGCGCAGAUAUCAGGAGGAACACCGAUGGCGAAGGCAGGUCUCUGGGCAGUUACUGACGCUGAGGAGCGAAAGCAUGGGGAGCGAACAGGAUUAGAUACCCUGGUAGUCCAUGCCGUAAACGUUGGGCACUAGGUGUGGGGCCAGUUCCACUGGUUCUGUGCCGCAGCUAACGCAUUAAGUGCCCCGCCUGGGGAGUACGGCCGCAAGGCUAAAACUCAAAGGAAUUGACGGGGGCCCGCACAAGCGGCGGAGCAUGCGGAUUAAUUCGAUGCAACGCGAAGAACCUUACCAAGGCUUGACAUGUACGAGAAAGCCCCAGAGAUGGGGUUCUCUUUGGACACUCGUACACAGGUGGUGCAUGGUUGUCGUCAGCUCGUGUCGUGAGAUGUUGGGUUAAGUCCCGCAACGAGCGCAACCCUUAUCCUAUGUUGCCAGCGGGUUAUGCCGGGGACUCAUGGGAGACUGCCGGGGUCACUCGGAGGAAGGUGGGGAUGACGUCAAAUCAUCAUGCCCCUU
rnacentral:rRNA from 1 species